CAGUCGCCACGGUAAUACGGAGGGAGCUAGCGUUAUUCGGAAUUACUGGGCGUAAAGCGCACGUAGGCGGCUUUGUAAGUUAGAGGUGAAAGCCUGGAGCUCAACUCCAGAAUUGCCUUUAAGACUGCAUCGCUUGAAUCCAGGAGAGGUGAGUGGAAUUCCGAGUGUAGAGGUGAAAUUCGUAGAUAUUCGGAAGAACACCAGUGGCGAAGGCGGCUCACUGGACUGGUAUUGACGCUGAGGUGCGAAAGCGUGGGGAGCAAACAGGAUUAGAUACCCCCGUAGUCCCUGUCUCUUAUAC
rnacentral:rRNA from 1 species